AUGAAAAUGAAUGUAAAAAUACCUUGCAUAUCUGUCAAUGUUUCAAAAAUAAACUCACACCAAAAACAAUUAAACAAGUAACAAAUAAAAAUAACAAUCAUGGCAAAAUAAAAUGCAGAAAAUGGAAGGUUUUUAGAAAUGCAAAACUGACUGUGGAGCGAUUCAAAAAUCUUCCUCAUUUUUGAAUACAUGGGUUGCCUCCCAAGAAGCGCUUGCUUUAACGUCUUCCAGCCGGACGAAACUUCCUUCUAAGCUUGGAUAGGGCCCAUAGCAUAGAAUUGAUCCUUGAAUGGAAGGUGAUACUUGACGUGAUCCGGCAAUGGUUUAAAUUCUAGUGUAGGUGCCUGAAUCAUCAAAAUCAGCAAGUUAGUAUAAAAUAAAAUCAAAGUUGGAGAAGAUGGCUUACUUGCUUGCUCCGACAUAAACUCAAUUACUGAUAGGAGCAUAUUUAUGCGACUUAGUGGGCUUGUUCUUGUGCAUUUAUAUUGUUUUCUUUAGUUAUUUUAGUGUUUAAAGUCAUUUUCGUGCAAUUUCAGGUUUAGAGACGAAGUAUGCAAAGAAGUGCGAAAUGGAGCAUUUUAGAGCAAAAUUGAGCCGGAAUGUUGUGUAUGCUAAUGAAGCACGAGGAAUGGACGAGUUUGAAGGUCAAAGGAGCUUAAGAAAUGAAGAAAUGAAAGUGAAGAACAAAGAAGUCGGAAUUGGCAACCAAAGUUUCUAAAGUUGGAAGUUUCUAUUCUUGGAGGUUUCCAUUUUCGUGAGUUUCUAUUCUUGGCUUUAGGCUUUUAGAUGACCUAAACCCUAAUUCCUUGUGGAUCCUAAGCCCAUGCCGCACCCUAGGGCCUAAUCAUUUAAUUUCUGCCAAGUUAAACCCUAAUCUAGCUCCCCUAGGGUUUGUGCCGCACCUAAUGUUCUAGAA
rnacentral:lncRNA from 1 species